GACGAACGCUGGCGGCGUGCCUAAUACAUGCAAGUUGAGCGCUGAAGGUUGGUACUUGUACCAACUGGAUGAGCAGCGCACGGGUGAGUAACGCGUGGGGAAUCUGCCUUUGAGCGGGGGACAACAUUUGGAAACGAAUGCUAAUACCGCAUAAAAACUUUAAACACAAGUUUUAAGUUUGAAAGAUGCAAUUGCAUCACUCAAAGAUGAUCCCGCGUUGUAUUAGCUAGUUGGUGAGGUAAAGGCUCACCAAGGCGAUGAUACAUAGCCGACCUGAGAGGGUGAUCAGCCACACUGGGAGUGAGACACGGCACAAAGUCCUACGGGAGGGAGCAGUAGGGAAUCGUCGGCAAGGGACGAAAGUCUGACCGAGCAACGCCGCGUGAGGGAAGAAGGUUGUCGGGUCGGAAAACUCUGUUGGUAGAGAAGAACGUUGGUGAGAGUGGAAAGCUCAUCAAGUGACGGUAACUACCCAGAAAGGGACGGCUAACUACGUG
rnacentral:rRNA from 1 species